GGACUACUCGGGUUUCUAAUCCUGUUUGCUACCCACGCUUUCGUGUCUCAGCGUCAGUAAUGGUCCAGAAAGCCGUCUACACCGCAGGUGUUCCUCCUGAUAUCUACGCAUUUCACCGCUACACCAGGAAUUCCGCUUUCCUCUCCCACACUCGAGCAUUCCAGUUUUCGGCGCACCCUCCCAGUUGAGCCGGGAGAUUUCACACCGAACUUAGAACACCGCCUACACACUCUUUACGCCCAGUAACUCCGAACAACGCUUGCUGCCUACGUAUUACCGCGGCUGCUGGCAC
rnacentral:rRNA from 1 species